rnacentral:tRNA from 1 species
UGGCUCAGUUGGUAGAGCGCACCCUUGGUAAGGGUGAGGUCCCCAGUUCGACUCUGGGG